GCAUACUGCAGAUUUUGCUCUUGUUCACAUACUACAUACUGAAUUUAGACCAAAUCAGUACGUACUGCUAGUAUAGUAGGCGGUUUUGAAAACAGCCAAAGACUGUAUGUAAGAAGUGGGUGAACCCUCAGUUUUCAAAAGUGUUGCAAAUGCCUCACUGUUUUAAACUGCAGACAAGUGGCGUGCAGGGGACAACUCCAACGGCUGCACACUAGAGUCCUUUUGUUCAGACACAUGACAACAGGUCUCAGUUUUUCAGCUGAUUUAUUGCCUCAGUAUUUAUAAGUCUGUGGUCUCAAUCUCUGGUCUUUAGUCUUCUGCAAUCCAGCAUGAUCUUAGUUUAAUAAAUUACACUCCCGUUUAGAUUUAAACAAACAGUAGUGCACAUAAACCAAGACGGCAAUGCCAAAACUUGAGUCCGGUCUGGCCCAGAGAUGGAGCGUUUGAGACUUGGACUUAAGUUGUACACCAAUGUGACUCGAGACUUGACUCAGACUUGUGCACAAUCUUUAUUUUGUAUUUUUGUUGCAUCAACAUUUGCUGAAUGUCACUCACUUCCUAUCAUGCAUAACCUGCGCAAGCGGCCGCCCACCACACAUGACACAAUGACAUCGGCUGCAGCUGCUACAGUGUUCCUCAGACAUCUCCAUACGGGUGCCUGAGUAUGUACACAGACCGUUUAAACCUUUUUAAGAUUGCUGUGGCUAUCACGACAUCUCUGCUGUUCAUGCAAUGAUUGAGGUCAGCGUCUCAUGUCAUAUUUAAGCCCUCUCAUUCAGCAGCAGUUGUUAUUCUGCACUUCUAGUUGUGGAUCGCCACUAACGAGCCACAUGCAGACCGCCUGUUAUAACAGAACAUGAAGUGAAACAUUUCAGAUGCAGGUUUUGUUAUUUGAGUGUCUUUAUAUAAUACACUGAUGAUAGGUGUCGUCUAGAUCAGGCACAGACAAACAGGUGUAGGGAUCAUGAGCUGAUUCAGGGGGAGGUGGGGGUUGGCCUUGCUGGCUGUGAUUCAACAGACUGAGUAGCUUUCUUUGCAUUUCAAUGUGACUUUGGACAAACAUCUUCUUGAGUCAUUAAAGAUAAGCUAAGAAGGUUUAAAUGUUGCCACUCUGGAUGAAACUUAAAUAUCACUAGUUGAAAUCAAACUGAAUGGUAGAGAUAGAGGAUGAUUGCAUGCUGUGCAUUUGUGUGUGUGAAUACUUCAUGCCACUGCUGCAAAGGUCAGUCUGAGUUUGACCACCUUGUUCAUAAGAGUCCAGUUCCUCUUGCAGGUGUGUGUGUGUGGAUAAUAGAACAAAGCACUACAACUAACCAAAUAUCAUGAUGAGCUGACCCUGCUCUCAAAGACUUGAGCCUUGACUUGGACUUGCAGAAAGUGACUCUUGUCCACCUCUGGUUCAUCCACUUCUUUUAUACUGCUCUUACAUUUGACAGCUUUCUUCUACUAAACUUUUGCACAUGAUGUCAUAAAUGGACUUUUCUGCAUUUUUUCAUGUAAUUAGCGAACACAAUCGUGCCUGUGACAUUUUAUCAAAGGGCCUCCACAUAGACAGGAGUGAUAACCUCUAAGUCUAAAGCACUGCCACACUCUCACACUACCCUCACUGGAAUGCUUUUACUCACAGCACUGCCAAACUGUGUAUGUUUCUAUAACAAAUGUAUUUACUGUUUUAUAAAAUAUACUUUGUGAUAAUCCCUGA